rnacentral:lncRNA from 1 species
CUGUGCCAAAUCUUGGAUGCAGUUGAUAAUCUUGCUCAAAAGCUAUCUGUCGACUCAGGUAGCAGCUCAGAGUGGAGGCCUGUGGUAACUAGAAAGCCUGGCUUUAUGAACUAUCCUACUGUCCGAUUAAAGUAAGUUCAAAUCUUUCUAUUUUGCACCUCUGCAAGUGAAUAUGCUUUAGUUUUCACCUGGCUUUAUGAACUACCCUACUGUCCGAUUAAAGUAAGUUCAAAUCUUUCUUUUUUGCACCUCUGCAAGUGAAUAUGCUUAGUUUUCGUGUUACUCAAAAUAAGAAAGCUUAUGUCAGUGCUUGCCUUUUUCUUUCAUGUAUAGUCACUGAUAAACUUUUCUUUAUCCAUUCUCACCUUAAGCGUCCUAAUGUUCUAGGAUGGAUACAUGUCUUGAAUUUAUGUGCUCUUAUUAUCCCUCAGAGUUUCUAUCCUGAAUAUCUACAUAAGUUACUAUGUUUUCCAGUUCAUGGUUUGUCCAAUUUUCUUAUUAAAACCUAGGACAUACGAGUUGUGAAAUACCUCAGACAAAGUGGUGGUGUGAUAUUCCAUGUCCUCUGCGUUAAUCCUGCCCCAUUUUACCCGAGCAAGCAGCCUCUUUUCACUGACUUGUAAU